UAGAUAUAUGUAAGGAGAAUUGCAUCCAACAUCAAUCAAACAAAUUAUAAUUCAUCCACUAACUAAAAACCCUGUUUUUUCAAUAUACACUGUACACAUUAUAGAUUAUUGCCAUAUUACCCUUGCAAUCAACCGGUGAAACCUACUAACAAAAAUAAUUAAAAAAAAUAUAAAAAACUUUUAGCCACAUCUUCUAAUCCAUCACAACCACCUCCACGUCUCUACUCCACCACCUCUUUCCAGUGUUUCUCUUUCUUCUUCAGAUUAUCAAAAAAAUCAUACAUUUUCUACUGUCACAUAAUUCUUCUCUUUCAAUACUUCACCAAAAGAACAAUCAAUUGUUCUAAAGAAGAGACAACAAUGAAGUCAUAGACGAUCCAGUGGUGAAGAACAGACAAGAACAGACAGCGAUGAAAGCAUAGACGAUCUAGAGGUGAAGAACAACGACGGCGAAUCGGUUAAAGCAUCAUCGUGUCGGGAAAAAAAGAAGAGAUGAAGAUGAUCUCUAUAUGGUGGUGAACGAAAUGAAUGUGUAUCAGCCUGUCUAAAAAAAGAAGAAUUGAAGAAGAUGAAUUCGUCGUCUAUACUAUAUUUGGUGAAAUGAAUAGUAUAGUAUAUAUUUUUAAGUACAGCUACUUAUGUACGGUUACCAUACUAUUUGAGACAUAUUUCUAUACUACUCCUUAAAAAAGUAAUAAUAUGUCAUGUUUUUAAUUUUGAUAGGUCUCUUCUUUGUUAAUUUGUGUGAUUGAUUGUAAUAUGAAAUUCAUUUUUCGAGUGUUGGAAAAAUUUGAUUAUUUGGAACA